GUGGAGUUGAGAGCAGGAGGGAGGAGAUCUCCACCUACCUCUCCCUCCAAAUGGUUGCGCAGGGCACAGUCCAAAACAGCCUGGAGCUCUACUUCAACGAAUCAGAAGUUGAGUACAGGUGCGAGCGGUGUGGGGGUCAGGUGUCGAGCCUGAGGUGUAGUUUCUACACACUACCUCAGGUUCUCAUUUUACACCUGAAGAGGUUUUGCCCCUUCACCCUCACCAAAAGCAUGGCACCGCUUCAGCUGGAGGCAGAGCUCCAGAUCAAACAAAGGACUGAGGACAUUGCAGGAAGGUGUGGCGAGUCCCCUCAGGUUCUGGCCCCCAGUGCAGGAUCAGGCCGCUGCCCUGCAGCCACCUCUACUCUGGGGGGGGCGUCUUCCUCUGAAGCAUCCUCCAUCACUCAGGAGCUAGAGGCAGGGACAGAGAGAGAGAAGGUGGAGGGAGGCAGCUCCACCUACUCCCUAAUGAGUGUGCUGAGCCACAUUGGGACCAAUGCGGACUGGGGUCAUUACACAAGUGACUGUGCCGAGGAAGGGGGACUCUGGCUCUCUCUUAAUGAUGAGGAAGUCUCCCCCACCACUCAGGAGGCUGUACUCAGAGAGAGAGCCAGCACUGCCUACAUGCUUUUUUACACCAGAAAGUGAAGUGCCCCUUCCUGGUCAUCAAGGCUCAGCACCAGACACAGACAGGACUCUCCUGCUCAGCAGGAGACACUCAACCAGAGACGUCACAUGUGAAACACUAGAUAAGGGUUCUGUGAGAGGCUGUUGGACCUGCCCCCCCCCCACACCACAUCAAGCUGGUCUCCAUGGUGGGGUCUCCUCAGGACCGGAGUGCUACAACAGCUCAGUACCAUCAAGUCCUGCUGCUGAACCCCCCCGUCCCCCCAAACACACACAUACUUGCCCGAAUAAACCAAAAACCCAGUGUUUCGCACACUCCAGUCUACUGUGGAUAUGUUCACAC
ensembl:lncRNA